rnacentral:sRNA from 2 species
GCGGAGUGUAUAUCUGGGACAUGGCGGGAGGCUUUACCGGCAUGUUUGCCUGGUUGACAGUAUGUUGUCCUAGCUCUUGGGUGAUCUCGGGCUGUAGGAACCCCGGCGCAGCCAAUUGGUCCUCAAAGGAACCUUCUACUUGGGAGGCGUAGGCUUCUUCUCCGCUGUCAGGUCCAAGAUAUUUAACGCACGUAUUGUAUGCCGAGCAGUCGGUGUCCUGCUCGAAACUGAUGGAAGUCUCUGAGUUAUAUUCAUCUGGAAUCUCUUGGAACCUCGCGUCGCCAAAAUAAUUACAGGAGUUUGGCUCUGUAAGCUCAUAUCCCCGUGAAGGCAUUAUUCCACAAUUAACUGGAUCCAUCAACAUACGGCCUGGCAUAUGGGGCGUUUCUAGUACAUUGCCAUAGUAUUGAUAUCCGAAUGUAUCGGGAAUGGGAGCAGUUGUGAUCGGGUAAUUGCCUUGCACGUCAAUUUCAUUCGAUGUUAAGGCACCGUCAGAAUUGCUCAGCGGAGAUGUGAGUUGUGGAUGGUGACUGCAUCCAUGUGGGUUGCAGCAGCCAUAGCAAAAUGUUAUAUUUAGCGACGGACUUUGAGCAGCGUAAGCCAUCGGGGGCAUGUGAGGUGGGUGGCGAUUCGGCUGUCCUGCUAGCAAUAUAUCCUUUUUGUUUUGCUUCAAUCUGGUCUGGUUUGGUUGGAAUGCAGGGAGUGGAAAUAAACAGAGCGGAGUAUAUGCGACUUGUUUGAGACCCUAUAGCGGAAAUUCCUUUUCAUCAGUAUGGAGGUAACGGAGGCCUUCGCAUUUCACGUUGAAGAUGAAAAUACACUCACACCUACUACCCGCCCUCUAGAGACCUCCCCAAAAAAGGAUCAGCAAAUCAGCUAGCUUCAGCCGAAAUACUCAGCUGAUAGGCCCUUGAUCGAAGCAGACGUAAAACGAGAAUUUAAGCAG